AUUCAGCUGACGGGUCCCAAAUAGGACAAAUCUCGCGUCCUGGAU
rnacentral:hammerhead_ribozyme from 1 species